rnacentral:rRNA from 1 species
AGACCGAUAGCGAACAAGUCCGUGAGGGAAAGCGAACAAGAACUUUGAAAAGAGAGUUAAACAGUAUGUGAAAUUGUUAAAAGGGAACCGUUUGGAGCCAGACUGGUUUGACUGUAAUCAACCUAGAAUUCGUUCUGGGUGCACUUGCAGUCUAUACCUGCCAACAACAGUUUGAUUUGGAGGAAAAAAUUAGUAGGAAUGUAGCCUCUCGAGGUGUUAUAGCCUACUAUCAUACUCUGGAUUGGACUGAGGAACGCAGCGAAUGCCAUUAGGCGAGAUUGCUGGGUGCUUUCGCUAAUAAAUGUUAGAAUUUCUGCUUCGGGUGGUGCUAAUGUUUAAAGAAGGAACACAUCUAGUAUAUUUUUUAUUCGCUUAGGUUGUUGGCUUAAUGACUCUAAAUGUCCCGUCUUGAAACACGGACCAAG